rnacentral:rRNA from 1 species
CCUACGGGUGGCAGCAGUGAGGAAUAUUGGUCAAUGGACGAGAGUCUGAACCAGCCAAGUAGCGUGAAGGAUGACUGCCCUAUGGGUUGUAAACUUCUUUUAUAUGGGAAUAAAAUGUUCCACGUGUGGGAUUUUGUAUGUACCAUAUGAAUAAGGAUCGGCUAACUCCGUGCCAGCAGCCGCGGUAAUACGGAGGAUCCGAGCGUUAUCCGGAUUUAUUGGGUUUAAAGGGAGCGUAGGUGGAUUGUUAAGUCAGUUGUGAAAGUUUGCGGCUCAACCGUAAAAUUGCAGUUGAAACUGGCAGUCGUGAGUACAGUAGAGGUGGGCGGAAUUCGUGGUGGAGCGGUGAAAUGCUGAGAUAUCACGAAGAACUCCGAUUGUGAAGGCAGCUCACUGGACUGCAACUGACACUGAGGCUCGAAAGUGUGGGUAUCAAACAGGAUUAGAUACCCCAGUAGUC